UUCUGUUCCAUUUUGCUGAUAAAAGAUCUCUUUAAAACUACUUAUCUUAUGAAAUAAGACAUCAUUCAAACCAACUCCCUUUCUCUCUUUCUCCAACUUUCCUUCUCUUUCUUAUGAGGAAAUGAGUAGAGAAAAUUUAAAGUACACAUCCUAGGCCCCAUUUUGCUAAAGCACUUUUGGGAGCACAAUCAAGAUUUUUCUGCUUCAGAGUCACAGUUUUUCCCAGAAGAACUUCUCAAACUAUCAUGAGACCCAGAAGUAGGAACCCAUGCUGUGAACAUGAGUAAUUUUCUUAACAACUUAGUGUGAAUUAAAGAAAUUAAAGUAUGCUGUCGUGUUUGUUUGAACAGCUUACCUAGGAUUAUAAUAUUAAUG
rnacentral:lncRNA from 12 species